CCUACGGGAGGCAGCAGUAGGGAAUCUUCCACAAUGGGCGAAAGCCUGAUGGAGCGACGCCGCGUGGGUGAAGAAGGUCUUCGGAUCGUAAAACCCUGUUGUUAGAGAAGAAAGUGCGUAAGAGUAACUGUUCACGUUUCGACGGUAUCUAACCAGAAAGCGACGGCUAACUACGUGCCAGCAGCCGCGGUAAUACGUAGGUGGCAAGCGUUAUCCGGAUUUAUUGGGCGUAAAGGGAACGCAGGCGGUCUUUUAAGUCUGAUGUGAAAGCCUUCGGCUUAACCGGAGUAGUGCAUUGGAAACUGGGAGACUUGAGUGCAGAAGAGGAGAGUGGAACUCCAUGUGUAGCGGUGAAAUGCGUAGAUAUAUGGAAGAACACCAGUGGCGAAGGCGGCUUUCUGGUCUGUAACUGACGCUGAGGUUCGAAAGCGUGGGGAGCAAACAGGAUUAGAUACCCUUGUAGUC
rnacentral:rRNA from 1 species